rnacentral:lncRNA from 1 species
GUCUCCUCUUCUUCUAAUACAAUUGGCAAUUUGAUCAAAAGACUAAGAGCCUCUUCACAAGCUCUAAACGUGACAAAAUCCGAGCUUUCGAUUAAAAUUUGUUGAAUAAUCCUAACAAGAAUCUCAACUCCACCACAUAUUUUGAAAUCAUCCUUCACAUCAUGAUCACCUGCUAAAACAAUUGACUUGAGUUUCUUUAAAGAACUUACCUUAAAAGGGCUCGAUUCAAUCGUAUUGAGCAACGAAACGAGCUCCUCGUGUUUGUUCCUCAACUCCACCACAUGUUUUGAAAUCAUCCGUCACAUCAUGAUCACCUACUUCAACAAUUGACUUGAGUUUCUUUAAAGAACUUACCUUAAAAGGGCUCGAUUCAAUCGUAUUGAGCAACGAAACAAG